UCCGGCUUAACGCCGGCAGUCUACCUAGAGUGCCCAACUUAAUGGUGGCAACUAAGUACGAGGGUUGCGCUCGUUGCGGGACUUAACCCAACACCUCACGGCACGAGCUGACGACAGCCAUGCAGCACCUGAACCGGCAGUCCCCGAAGGGAAGAUCCUAUUUCUAGGACUGUCCACCGUUGUCUAGCCCAGGUAAGGUUCUUCGCGUUGCGUCGAAUUGAACCACAUGCUCCACCGCUUGUGCGGGCCCCCGUCAAUUCCUUUGAGUUUCAACCUUGCGAUCGUACUCCCCAGGUGGGAUACUUAAUGGGUUGCCUCCGACACUGAGAUUUUACUCCCAACGUCUAGUACUCAUCGUUUACAGCGUGGACUAC
rnacentral:misc_RNA from 1 species